rnacentral:rRNA from 1 species
GACGAACGCUGGCGGCGUGCUUAGCACAUGCAAGUCGAACGGUGAAGCGCCUUCCUUUUUGGUGGGUGUGGAUGAGUGGCGAACGGGUGAGUAACACGUGAGUAACCUGCCCCCUUCUUCUGGAUAACCGCAUGAAAGUGUGGCUAAUACGGGAUAUUCUGGGUCUGUCGCAUGAUGGGUCUGGGAAAGAUAUUGUUUCGGUGGGGGAUGGGCUCGCGGCUUAUCAGCUUGUUGGUGGGGUGAUGGCCUACCAAGGCGGUGACGGGUAGCCGGCCUGAGAGGGUGGACGGUCACACUGGGAGUGAGACACGGCCCAGACUCGUACGGGAGGCAGCAGUGGGGAAUAUUGCACAAUGGGCGCAAGCCUGAUGCAGCGACGCCGCGUGAGGGAUGGAGGCCUUCGGGUUGUGAACCUCUUUCGCCAGUGAAGCAGGCCUGCCUCGUUUGUGGGUGGGUUGACGGUAGCUGGAUAAGAAGCGCCGGCUAACUACGUG